GAAUUUUGAUUAACGCCCGGCGCUAAGCCGGGCCAACUGGAAG
rfam:Cronobacter sp. DJ34 Bact_A5_38, whole genome shotgun sequence.